rnacentral:lncRNA from 1 species
CAGAUAAUGACCCGCCCAGCGCGUUCUGAUACAUGACCACUCGGGAGAUAUGGGGCUGUUGAUUGCUUUAUUAUUAAUAAUAAACUCAGGAACCAAACACACCUGUGUGGAAGCACCUGCUUUUAUCAACAUACUGCAUAUCUCUCGUUCGACUAGGAAGUGUUUCCUGUUAUUCUGGCAGUUACCUGCAGACGCUACGUAGAAAGGUAAAUACAUACGGAAGCUUCCCGGAACAACGACUAUAAAACUAUAUUAUAUAUUGAUAAUGAUGCUAGCAUUUUAUCAGGAAAGUUGAGACUGUAUCAUAUGUUGGGGUUCGGCAGGGUAGGCUAGUGGUUAGAGCAGGUAGCCUAGUGGUUAGAGCAGGUAGCCUAGUGGUUAGAGCAGGUAGCCUAGUGGUUACAGCAGGUAGCCUUGUGGUUAGAGCAGGUAGCCUAGUGGUUAGAGCAGGUAUACUAGUGGUUAGAGGCAGGUCGCCUUGUGGUUAGAGCAGGUAGCCUAGUGGUUAGAGCAGGUAGCCUAGUGGUUAGAGCAGGUAGCCUAGUGGUUAGAGCAGGUAGCCUAGUGGUUACAGCAGGUAGCCUAGUGGUUAGAGCAGGUAUCCUAGUGGUUAGAGGCAGGUAGCCUUGUGGUUAGAGCAGGUAGCCUAGUGGUUAGAGCAGGUAUCCUAGUGGUUAGAGGCAGGUAGCCUAGUGGUUAGAGCAGGUAGCCUAGUGGUUAGAGCAGGUAGCCUAGUGGUUACAGAAGGUAGCCUUGUGGUUAGAGCAGGUAGCCUAGUGGUUAGAGCAGGUAUCCUAGUGGUUAGAGGCAGGUAGCCUAGUGGUUAGAGCAGGUAUCCUAGUGGUUAGAGGCAGGUAGCCUAGUGGUUAGAGGCAGGUAGCCUAGUGGUUAGAGCAGGUAGCCUAGUGGUUAGAGGCAGGUAGCCUAGUGGUUAGAGCAGGUAGCCUAGUGGUUAGAGGCAGGUAGCCUGUUGGUUAGAGCAGGUAUCCUAGUGGUUAGAGGCAGGUAGCCUAGUGGUUAGAGCAGGUAGCCUAGUGGUUAGAGCAGGUAGCCUAGUGGUUAGAGCAGGUAGCCUUGUGGUUAGAGUAGGUAGACUAGUGGUUAGAGCAGGUAUCCUAGUGGUUAGAGGCAGGUAGCCUAGUGGUUAGAGCAGGUAGCCUAGUGGUUAGAGCAGGUAGCCUAGUGGUUAGAGCAGGUAGCCUAGUGGUUAGAGCAGGUAUCCUAGUGGUUAGAGCAGGUAGCCUAGUGGUUAGAGCAGGUAGCCUAGUGGUUAGAGCAGGUAGCAUAGUGGUUAGAGCAGGUAGCCUAGUGGUUACAGCAGGUAGCCUAGUGGUUAGAGCAGGUAUCCUAGUGGUUAGAGGCAGGUAGCCUUGUGGUUAGAGCAGGUAGCCUAGUGGUUAGAGCAGGUAUCCUAGUGGUUAGAGGCAGGUAGCCUAGUGGUUAGAGCAGGUAGCCUAGUGGUUAGAGCAGGUAGCCUAGUGGUUACAGCAGGUAGCCUUGUGGUUAGAGAAGGUAGCCUAGUGGUUAGAGCAGGUAGCCUAGUGGUUAGAGCAGGUAGCCUAGUGGUUAGAGCAGGUAGCCUAGUGGUUAGAGCAGGUAGCCUAGUGGUUACAACAGGUAGCCUUGUGGUUAGAGCAGGUAGCCUUGUGGUUAGAGCAGGUAGCCUAGUGGUUAGAGCAGGUAUCCUAGUGGUUAGAGCAGGUAGCCUAGUGGUUAGAGCAGGUAGCCUAGUGGUUAGAGCAGGUAGCCUAGUGGUUAGAGCAGGUAGCCUAGUGGUUACAACAGGUAGCCUUGUGGUUAGAGCAGGUAGCCUAGUGGUUAGAGCAGGUAUCCUAGUGGUUAGAGGCAGGUGCCUUGUGGUUAGAGCAGGUAGCCUAGUGGUUAGAGCAGGUAGCCUAGUGGUUAGAGCAGGUAUCCUAGUGGUUAGAGGCAGGUGCCUUGUGGUUAGAGCAGGUAGCCUAGUGGUUAGAGCAGGUAGCCUAGUGGUUAGAGCAGGUAUCCUAGUGGUUAGAGGCAGGUAGCCUAGUGGUUAGAGGCAGGUAGCCUAGUGGUUAGAGCAGGUAGCCUAGUGGUUAGAGGCAGGUAGCCUGUUGGUUAGAGCAGGUAUCCUAGUGGUUAGAGGCAGGUAGCCUAGUGGUUAGAGCAGGUAGCCUAGUGGUUAGAGCAGGUAGCCUAGUGGUUAGAGCAGGUAGCCUUGUGGUUAGAGUAGGUAGACUAGUGGUUAGAGCAGGUAUCCUAGUGGUUAGAGGCAGGUAGCCUAGUGGUUAGAGCAGGUAGCCUAGUGGUUAGAGCAGGUAUCCUAGUGGUUAGAGUCAGGUGCCUUGUGGUUAGAGCACGUAGCCUAGUGGUUAGAGCAGGUAGCCUAGUGGUUAGAGCAGGUAUCCUAGUGGUUAGAGGCAGGUAGCCUAGUGUUUAGAGCAGGUAGCCUAGUGGUUAGAGGCAGGUAGCCUAGUGGUUAGAGCAGGUAGCCUAGUGGUUAGAGGCAGGUAGCCUGUUGGUUAGAGCAGGUAUCCUAGUGGUUAGAGGCAGGUAGCCUAGUGGUUAGAGCAGGUAGCCUAGUGGUUAGAGCAGGUAGCCUAGUGGUUAGAGCAGGUAGCCUAGUGGUUAGAGGCAGGUAGCCUAGUGGUUAGAGCAGGUAGCCUAGUGGUUAGAGACAGGUAGCCUGUUGGUUAGAGCAGGUAUCCUAGUGGUUAGAGGCAGGUAGCCUAGUGGUUGGAGCAGGUAUCCUAGUGGUUAGAGGCAGGUAGCCUAGUGGUUAGAGCAGGUAUCCUAGUGGUUAGAGGCAGGUAGCCUAGUGGUUAGAGGCAGGUAGCCUAGUGGUUAGAGCAGGUAGCCUAGUGGUUAGAGCAGGUAGCCUAGUGGUUAGAGCAGGUAGCCUUGUGGUUAGAGCAGGUAGCCUAGUGGUUAGAGCAGGUAUCCUAGUGGUUAGAGGCAGGUAGCCUAGUGGUUAGAGCAGGUAUCCUAGUGGUUAGAGGCAGGUGCCUUGUGGUUAGAGCAGGUAGCCUAGUGGUUAGAGCAGGUAGCCUAGUGGUUAGAGCAGAUAUCCUAGUGGUUAGAGGCAGGUAGCCUAGUGGUUAGAGGCAGGUAGGCUAGUGGUUAGAGCAGGUAGCCUAGUGGUUAGAGGCAGGUAGCCUAGUGGUUAGAGCAGGUAGCCUAGUGGUUAGAGGCAGGUAGCCUGUUGGUUAGAGCAGGUAUCCUAGUGGUUAGAGGCAGGUAGCCUAGUGGUUAGAGCAGGUAGCCUAGUGGUUAGAGCAUGUAGCCUAGUGGUUAGAGCAGGUAGCCUAGUGGUUAGAGCAGGUAGCCUAGUGGUUAGAGGCAGGUAGCCUAGUGGUUAGAGCAGGUAGCCUAGUGGUUAGAGGCAGGUAGCCUGUUGGUUAGAGCAGGUAUCCUAGUGGUUAGAGGCAGGUAGCCUAGUGGUUAGAGCAGGUAGCCUGUUGGUUAGAGCAGGUAUCCUAGUGGUUAGAGGCAGGUAGCCUAGUGGUUAGAGCUUUGUGCCAGUAACCAAAAUGUUUGCCCAAUCGAAUCCCCGAGCUGACAAGGUGUAAAAAUCUGUCGUUCUGCCCCUGAACAAGGCAGUUAACCCCACUGUUACCCCGGGUACUACGUCACUGUAAAUAAGAAUUUGUUCUUAACUGACUUCCCUAGUUAAAUAAAAAUAUAUAUUAAAAAAAAAAUUUAAUUAAAUGAUGCUGAUAGGAUUUCAUAUAAAAUACUAAUGUUCUAUAAUCUGAUAUAUUGAUGAUUAAUAAGAGAUGAUAUGUAGCUGGGACUUCAGAAGACAACGACACUAUGGAACAACGAAGAGAUGGUUGGUCUGAGCUCCACACAUUAAUAACCUAUGUUUUAAGGUUGAACAGACGUUGGUAUUCCACCCAUGUUUUAAGGUUGAACAGACGUUGGUAUUCCAUGUUUUAAGGUUGAACAGAUGGUGGUUUGACGUUGGUAUUCCACCCAUGUUUUAAGGUUGAACAGAUGGUGGUUUGACGUUGGUAUUCCACCCAUGUUUUAAGGUUGAACAAACAUUGGAUUGAUGUUGGUAUUCCACCCAUGUUUUAAAGGAGAACAGACGUUGGUAUUCCACCCAUGUUUUAAAGGAGAACAGACGUUGGUAUUCCACCCAUGCUCCACCAAGGUAUUCCAGCUCACAGCUUUGACCCACUACAGUAUCUAGAUACUGUAGUGGGUCAAAGCUGUGAGCCGGAUAAAAUAAAUAAAUAAAAUAAAUCCAC